ensembl:snRNA U4 U4 spliceosomal RNA
AGCUUUGCACGGUGGCAGGAUCGUGGCCAAUGAGGUUUCUCCAAGGCACGAUUAUUGCUAAUUGAAAAACCACCACAACUAUGGAACGAACACAAAGAAUGUGCUUGGCAAAGAGUAUUUAUAUUUUUCUUUAACACAAUUAGACUG